UACGUAGGGUGCAAGCGUUAUCCGGAAUUAUUGGGCGUAAAGAGCUCGUAGGCGGUCUGUCGCGUCUGCUGUGAAAACCUGGGGCUUAACUCCGGGCCUGCAGUGGGUACGGGCAGACUAGAGGUAGGUAGGGGAGAAUGGAAUUCCCGGUGUAGCGGUGAAAUGCGCAGAUAUCGGGAGGAACACCGGUGGCGAAGGCGGCUCACUGGCCCGGUACUGACGCUGAGGCGCGAAAGCGUGGGGAGCAAACAGG
rnacentral:rRNA from 1 species